rnacentral:rRNA from 1 species
AAUCAACGCUGGCGGCGUGCCUCAGACAUGCAAGUCGAACGCGAAAGUUUCCUUCGGGAACAAGUAGAGUGGCGCACGGGUGAGUAACACGUAGGUAAUCUACCUUCGGAUGGGGAAUAACAAUCGGAAACGGUUGCUAAUACCGCAUAAUGCAGCGGCACCUAAUGGUGACAGUUGUUAAAGCGGGGGAUCGAAAGACCUCGCGUCUGAAGAGGAGCCUGCGGCGGAUUAGCUAGNGGUAAGGUAAUGGCUUACCAAGGCUACGAUCCGUAACCGGCCUGAGAGGGCGGUCGGUCACACUGACACUGACAUACGGGUCAGACUCC